rnacentral:rRNA from 1 species
GAUGAACGCUGGCGGCGUGCCUAAUACAUGCAAGUCGAGCGAACGGACGAGAAGCUUGCUUCUCUGAUGUUAGCGGCGGACGGGUGAGUAACACGUGGAUAACCUACCUAUAAGACUGGGAUAACUUCGGGAAACCGUAGCUAAUACCGGAUAAUAUUUUGAACCGCAUGGUUCAAAAGUGAAAGACGGUCUUGCUGUCACUUAUAGAUGGAUCCGCGCUGCAUUAGCUAGUUGGUAAGGUAACGGCUUACCAAGGCAACGAUGCAUAGCCGACCUGAGAGGGUGAUCGGCCACACUGGAACUGAGACACGGUCCAGACUCCUACGGGAGGCAGAAGUAGGGAAUCUUCCGCAAUGGGCGAAAGACUGACGGAGCAACGCCGCGUGAGUGAUGAAGGUCUUCGGAUCGUAAAACUCUGUUAUUAGGGAAGAACAUAUGUGUAAGUAACUGCGCACAUCUUGACGGUACCUAAUCAGAAAGCCACGGCUAACUACGUG